AAUAGUGUAUUUUAAAAAAAAUGUUUGUUUUACACACAAAAGUUAAGUUAUGUUACUUCUCUAUUA
rnacentral:tRNA from 1 species